rnacentral:rRNA from 1 species
UACGUAGGGUGCGAGCGUUAAUCGGAAUUACUGGGCGUAAAGAGUGCGUAGGCGGUUUCUCAAGUCCGCUGUGAAAUCCCCCGGGCUCAACCUGGGAAUGGCAGUGGAAACUAGGAGACUUGAAUCUGGCAGAGGGGGGUGGAAUUCCACGUGUAGCAGUGAAAUGCGUAGAGAUGUGGAGGAACACCGAUGGCGAAGGCAGCCCCCUGGGCUGAGAUUGACGCGCUCAGGCACGAAAGCGUGGGGAGCAAACAGGG